UGUAGAGGGGCCAUUCUACAAUACCCACAUUUUUUUGUGUGGGUACGGUACCCACUUAUAGAUUUAAUCAUUAAUUUCACUUGUUUUGAUUCAGUCCAGUGAUAUGAUUUUAAUGAAUUACCAAUUACCGGUCAAGAAGGUAACAUAUAAAGUCAAACACUCAAGGAAAAAAAACAGAUGUCUCUGUUUUUUUCUCUCUCGCCGUCUUGUGUUCUCUCUCUCUACUUCUCUGCUGCGUUCUUUCAAUUCUGCUCGUCGAUCUUCGCCGAUCUUCACCUUGUCUUCAUACAAAUCUCAGGUAGUAAAGGGGGAAGGAAAUAUAUCAAGCUAUGCCCACGCACAUCCUAGUACUAAUGGAAGCAAAUGGUCUAGGGAAGAGAGAUUUAGGAGUAAUGUCAAUGGUUUUUUUUACACGAACAAGCGGUAGCAAAGCAAUGGUAUCAAUCAGGGUCGCAGUGACAUUGGAGUGCAUGUGAAGAUUCUCGGAUGAAUCCAAAUGAUUUGCGUUUGAAACAGAUAAACAAAAGAAAGAUGAAGCGAAUUCCAAGGGUUUUUGAAGAGAGAAGGAAGAUGGACCAAAGUCAAAAGUUGUCAAAAACUAUUUAGCCUGCAAGGCAUAACAUGUAGCAGCAAAGGUCUGAUUAAAAGGACAUACUUUUUUGUGGCGAAUGCUAGCUACAGAAAGACCUAGAUCCCCAAAUAGAAAUUUGAAAUCUUCUAUGGGACUCUCACCACAAAGAAAUUUCAAUGAGCUGCACCAAGAACCAUCGCUCAGGGCAACUGAUAAUUCAAGAGCUAGAUGGUUUUUAAGCAAUGAUGGUGCUUCUAGGCCAACAGGACCUUUAACUGUCAAAGGUCCUGAUACUUCAGAGCUAGUUAUGCAGCUUACGCAAAUAGGUGGCAUUGGGCUGAAAAGUUUUCAUCGGUAUAUUUUUCCCCCUGCUGCCCUGUUUUAGCUUAAUUUAAGAGGGUUUGGUUUGUAUUUGUGAGGUUAUCUUGAUUAACGGUUGUGUAUAAUUCCUGUUGGUCGUUUAAUGUUAUGUAUUCAUCAUGCUCUUUUGAAUGGAAUUUUAAAAGGUGGAAGAAUCUCACACUAUCUGAGGUGGAAAUUUUAUUGUCUUCAAUAAUUAUAGCAUGUCUGAGGUGCAAAAUUUGUUUAGCCUUUUUGGAGUAUAAAUUCACCCAAUACAACACCACCAUGCUGUAAACAUAGCAAACAACAUGAAUUCUAUGCAAUUGUGAUAUUGGUUGGUGAAUGUGAUGCUUAAUUAACUAGCUGGAUUGGAGAGAUGAUUAAGAUCAUUGAAAUCACACAAUCAAUUAUCAUUUUGUCAGAUAAUCUUUAUCAAAAUAAUUGUACAUCACUCACAUUUGACUGCUUCAUCAAAUUAUGGUAAAAUUUGUGGUCUUAGAAGAGCCAUUAUGGUACGGUGGGAGUCACAUAUGCCAUUUGAGACAUGGUUCAUUGGUCUAGAUAGAUUAUAAAUAAAUAAAGGAGGAGGAAAGGUAGUUCAAGGAGGAGGAGGAGGAGGAAAGCUAGUGAAUGAUCGUGUGAAACAAAAUAUGCACUCUACAUUUUCUACACUUCUGGAUAGACAAUGAAGCCAAUCAUCUGCCAAAGCUGGAACCUUCAAGGACAAUGUGGACGCCAUCCAUCGACAAGAUAUAUGCGGACUUAGUUGUUAAGCAUAUACAACUUGUGAAAGAGCAAAUUACUUUUAGUUGUUAUAAAGUAUUAGUUGUUGGAAAAAUGUAGCUACGGUGGUAUAGAUUCUAAUGUAAUAUUAUAGAGUUUUUAGCCUAAACAAAGCUAUUGGCGAAACUUAAUUCAUUCAUAUAUGGACCUCAUCUGUGUGUUAUAUGUUAAAACUAUGAACUUUCCAUUGAAACUAUUAAUUU